rnacentral:lncRNA from 10 species
CCAAGUUCUGCCAACUGUGGCUGCUAGAGAGUUCUCAAUCCAUCUCCUUCCUUCCAGCCACCCAACCACUGCUCAUGUUCAGGCACCAUUUUCUCCCCACUGGAUUAUGGCAACAGUUAAUUUUAUGUGUCAACUUGACUGGGCCAUGGGAUGCCCAGAUAAAUAUUAUUUCUAGAUAUAUCUGUUAGGGUGUUUCUGGAAAAGAUUAGCAUUUGAAUUGGUGAACUGAGUCAAGCAGAUGGCCCUCCCCACUGUGCGUGGACUGCAUCCAAUCUGUUCAGGGUAUAAACAGAACAAAAAUGUAGAAGAAGGUUGAAUAUGUGAUCUCUGACUACUUUAGCUGGGAUAUGGAUCUUCCCCUGCCGUUGCUACCCCUGCUUCUCAGGCCUUCAGAUCUGGACUGCAAUCUAUACCAUCGGCCCUCUGGCUCUCAGGUUAUACGACCAGCUUUCCUGGGUCCUCGGCUUGCAGACAGCAGAUUGUGGGACUUCUCAACCUCCAUAUUCACACAGCCUCCAAUGUUCAAGAGAG